rnacentral:rRNA from 1 species
GAUUAACGCUAGCGACGUGCCUAAGGUAUGCAAGUCGAACGCUCACUUCGGUGAGAGUGGCAGACGGCUGAGUAACGCGUGGGAAUUUUCCUCAAGCUCUGGCAUAGCCCAUCGAAAGGUGGGGUAAUUCCAGAUAGUCUCUUCGGAGUAAAGUUUUAACGGCUUGAGAUGAGCCCGCGUUCUAUCAGGUAGUUGGUGGGGUAAUGGCCUACCAAGCCUAUGACGGAUAGCUGGUCUGAGAGGAUGUACAGCCAGACUGGGACUGCGAUACGGCCCAG